rnacentral:lncRNA from 1 species
GCGAAGAUGGCCGCACGGUUUUCGUAACAAAAUAAAUGGUGCUCGGUCACCAUUUUGACCAUGUCGAGCCUAUCACGAAGAUGGCAGCACGGUUUACGUAAUAAAAUAUCCGGUUCGAUCAAUCAUUUUGACCAUGUCGAGCCUAUCACGAAGAUGGCCGCGCGGUUUGAAGAUUAGCGAUGCAUACGUAGGGCGUAAGUGAUGAUUUAAUGUCAAAUUUGAUCGGUUUGAAACCUAUCACGAAGAUGGUCGGGUUGAUCAAAUUGACAAAAAAGCGCACUUACGCUAUCUGUAUGCAUGCAUAUCUCCUAUUGUCGUAGAAGUCGUCAACAUCGUCGUUGCUGUCGUCGUCGCGCCGUUGUCGAAAUCGUCGCGCCGUCGUCGUUCUCUUUUUCUCUUUUUUU